GUGCUUGCUUUGGCAGCACAUAUACUAAAAUUGAAACAAUGCAGAGACGAUUAGCAUGGCCAAGCGCAAGGAUGACACACAAAUUUGUGAAGCGUUCCAUUUUUUU